UUAAUGUGAAUGGCGUAAAGAAUUACAAUAAGUUGGUGACGACAGCUUGUGUACAAUUUUUUUAAAAGAUACAAUGUUCAAUUAUAUUUUCAACUCUAUUGUAUUGUCUAACUAUCAAGAGAUGGCGCUAUCUAUCCUAACAAGAUUCAGAUACUUUGAUAAAUUCAAUUAAAUUAAACAUUAUUUUAGCUCGUUUUUAUUUUAAAUAAAUAAAAAUUUAUCGCUUUUUAAUCAA